rnacentral:rRNA from 1 species
AUUGAACGCUGGCGGCAUGCUUUACACAUGCAAGUCGAACGGUAACAGGCCGCAAGGUGCUGACGAGUGGCGAACGGGUGAGUAAUGCAUCGGAACGUGCCCAGUCGUGGGGGAUAACUACUCGCAAGAGUAGCUAAUACCGCAUACGAUCUAUGGAUGAAAGCGGGGGACCGUAAGGCCUCGCGCGAUUGGAGCGGCCGAUGUCAGAUUAGGUAGUUGGUGGGGUAAAGGCUCACCAAGCCAACGAUCUGUAGCUGGUCUGAGAGGACGACCAGCCACACUGGGACUGAGACACGGCCCAGACUCCUACGGGAGGCAGCAGUGGGGAAUUUUGGACAAAGGGCGCAAGCCUGAUCCAGCAAUGCCGCGUGCAGGAAGAAGGCCUUCGGGUUGUAAACUGCUUUUGUACGGAACGAAACGGCUCUGGUUAAUACCCGGGGCUAAUGACGGUACCGUAAGAAUAAGCACCGGCUAACUACGUG